rnacentral:rRNA from 1 species
GACGAACGCUGGCGGCGUGCUUAACACAUGCAAGUCGAGCGGAGCGGCGAACGGGUGAGUCACGCGUGAGUAACUGCCCCCCUCUCUGGGAUAACAGUUGGAAACGGCUGCUAAUACCGGAUAGUGGGGGAUGACUCGCGUCCUAUCAGAGUGUUGGUGGGGUAGUGGCAUACCAAGGCGACGACGGGUAGCCGGCCUGGGAGGGCGACCGGCCACAUUGUGCUGAGAUACGGCCCAGACUCCUACGGGAGGCAGCAGUGGGGGAUAUUGCACAAUGGGCGAAAGCCUGAUGCAGCGACGCCGCGUGGGGGAUGAAGGCUUUCGGGUUGUAAAGCUCUGUUGUUAAGGGAGAAUGGAAAGUUCAUGCUGUGACGGUACUUAACCAGAAAGGGACGGCUAACUACGUGCCAGCAGCCGCGGUAAUAC